rnacentral:rRNA from 1 species
CCUACGGGUGGCAGCAGUGAGGAAUAUUGGUCAAUGGACGCAAGUCUGAACCAGCCAUGCCGCGUGCAGGAAGACGGCUCUAUGUGUUGUAAACUGCUUUUGUACGGGGGUAAACGCCGAUACGCGUCUCUGUCUGAACGUAUCGUACUAAUAAGGAUCGGCUAACUCCGUGCCAGCAGCCGCGGUAAUACGGAGGAUUCAAGCGUUAUCCGGAUUUAUUGGGUUUAAAGGGUGCGUAGGCGGUCGGAUAAGUUAGAGGUGAAAUCCCGAGGCUCAACUUUGGAAUUGCCUGUGAUACUGUUCGGCUAGAGAGUAGUAGAGGUAGGCGGAAUGUAUGGUGUAGCGGUGAAAUGCUUAGAGAUCA